CGCGGAUGGUUCUCAGCGCCUGCUCCUCCGUGAUCAGCUUCCUGCUCCUGUGAAUGGCUGCCACGAUGCGCUGCACCUGGGAGGGUCAUGGGGACAGCAGAACUUCACUCCAGCCCCCCAGCAAGCAGCUGCUGGUUUCUCACAUCAUUGGGCAUGGGGUUGAAGUCGACCAUCAGGACGGCCAUCAAGGUGGAAGCCACCUGCGUGUUGUGGUUGCUGCAGUCCCUCAUGCCCUGCAGCGCCAGGAGGAUGAGACCCUGCGGCCAAGAUCCCCAGCACAGAGAUCCCUCCUGACCAGCAGAAUGACUGUGGUGUUGGUGCUCCAGGAGAGGGAGAACUCGUGGUCAUCUUUCCACUGCUCCUGUUUCUCCUUCUCAUCCGGCUGCGCUUCCCAGCCUGGAAAGGAGAGUGAGGUGUGUGAGUGGUGGGUGCCCUGCAGGGAGCGGAACAGCUGCCCCCACCCUGAGCCGUGGGGCCGUGGGGCACCGCUCCCCAACACCAAGGGGUUCUUCACUGCGUGGAGUGGCAGCUGACGCAGCGCCAUCCAUGCCCGGCCCUGUGGGACGUCUGCGGUGGAUGGAGGCAGACAGAGGCUGUUUCCUUACGGCUUCUCCCCAGGAUAAAAGUGUAGAGGUGA